rnacentral:rRNA from 1 species
GACGAACGCUGGCGGCGUGCCUAAUACAUGCAAGUCGAACGCAGUGGGGACGGGUGAUUAACACGUGGGUAACCUCCCAUCAGAGGGGAUAACACUUGGAAACAGGUGCUAAACCGAUACUGAUGGAUGGACCCGCGGUGCAUUAGCUAGUUGGUGAGGUAACGGCUCACCAAGGCCACGAUGCAUAGCGGGCCUGAGGGGUGGAUCGGCCACACUGGGACUGAGACACGGCCAAGACUCCUACGGGAGGCAGCAGUGGGGAAUCUUCGGCAAGGGACGAAAGUCUGACCGAGCAACGCGGCGGAAGGGAAGAAGGUUUCCGGAUGGUAAAACUCUGUUGUUAGAGAAGCGGUAUCUAACCAGAAAGCCACGGCUAACUACGUGCCAGCAGCCGCGGUAAUAC